CCCAUAACUCAGGGAUAGCCUUUCGAAAGAAAGAUUAAUACCUGAUAGUACUUUUUCAAGGCAUCUUGAAAAGUUAAAGAUUUAUUGGUUAUGGAUGGGGAUGCGUUCCAGUUAGAUAGUUGGUGAGGUAACGGCUCACCAAGUCUUCGAUGGAUAGGGGUUCUGAGAGGAAGGUCCCCCACAUUGGUACUGAGACACGGACCAAACUCCUACGGGAGGCAGCAGUGAGGAAUAUUGGUCAAUGGGCGAGAGCCUGAACCAGCCAAGUAGCGUGAAGGAAUGAAGGUCCUAUGGAUUGUAAACUUCUUUUAUAGUAGAAUAAAGUGAUCCACGUGUGGAUUUUUGUAUGUAUACUAUGAAUAAGGAUCGGCUAACUCCGUGCCAGCCGCCGC
rnacentral:rRNA from 1 species